GGGAUGUGAUGAGUGGGUUGGACUCGCUUUAACAAUGCGAGAUGGGUGUCCGCUCUUGCCUGGUUACGACACACGGACACUCACAUCUUAACCGAUCUGAUCCC
rfam:Morus notabilis contig18243, whole genome shotgun sequence.